GAGGGUAUAGCUCAGUGGUAGAGCGUGUGCUUAGCAUGCACAGGUCCAGGGUUCAAUCCCCAGUGCUUCCA
rnacentral:tRNA from 1 species